GGAAUGUCGCGGGAGCCAACGUUUCGACAAGCGGACUUGUCUUCGUCAGGGCGUCAGUUGCCGCCCUGACGAAGACAAGUCCGGUUGUCGAAACGUUGUCUUCCGCGACAUUCC
rnacentral:pre_miRNA from 1 species